CCUACGGGAGGCAGCAGUGGGGAAUCUUGGACAAUGGGCGCAACCCUGAUCCAGCCAUGCCGCGUGAGUGAUGAAGGCCUUAGGGUCGUAAAGCUCUUUCGCCAGAGAAGAUAAUGACAGUAUCAGGUAAAGAAACCCCGGCUAACUCCGUGCCAGCAGCCGCGGUAAUACGGAGGGGGUUAGCGUUGUUCGGAAUUACUGGGCGUAAAGCGCACGUAGGCGGAUCAGAAAGUAUAGGGUGAAAUCCCAGGGCUCAACCCUGGAACUGCCUUGUAAACUCCCGGUCUUGAGUUCGAGAGAGGUGAGUGGAAUUCCGAGUGUAGAGGUGAAAUUCGUAGAUAUUCGGAGGAACACCAGUGGCGAAGGCGGCUCACUGGCUCGAUACUGACGCUGAGGUGCGAAAGUGUGGGGAGCAAACAGGAUUAGAUACCCUGGUAGUCCACACCGUAAACGAUGAAUGCCAGACGUCGGCAAGCAUGCUAUGUCUGGUGUCACACCUAACGGAUUAAGC
rnacentral:rRNA from 1 species